rnacentral:tRNA from 1 species
GCGUCGAUGGUCUAGUGGUUAUGACUUGGGCCUUCCAGGCAGAUCUUAAUAUCUGCGAAGCAAGCCUACAACCCGGGUUCGAAUCCCGGUCGACGCAC